AGACAGCAGUCGCCACGGGAAUACAGAGGGUGCGAGCGUUAAUCGGAUUUACUGGGCGUAAAGCGUGCGUAGGCGGCUUCUUAAGUCGGAUGUGAAAUCCCUGAGCUUAACUUAGGAAUUGCAUUCGAUACUGGGAAGCUAGAGUAUGGGAGAGGAUGGUAGAAUUCCAGGUGUAGCGGUGAAAUGCGUAAAGAUCUGGAGGAAUACCGAUGGCGAAGGCAGCCAUCUGGCCUAAUACUGACGCUGAGGUACGAAAGCAUGGGGAGCAAACAGGAUUAGAUACCCCCGUAGUCCCUGUCUCUUAUAC
rnacentral:rRNA from 1 species